AUUUACAUUAUUUUUGGCGGUAACUGAAUAUAUAUGGAAUAUCAAGCCCCUGCCAUAGACUGUAUAAAAAUCAUAGGCUGCAUAAAAGUACACGACACGGCAGCCAUUUUGUGCCAGAACGCUCAUCACACAUCAAAGUUUUCAAGGGGCUGAUAGGAGAUAUGGGAGAAUCCUCGGGUUUUCAAACAUGCAUCAACUUCUCUAGCUCAAUCUGAACUGCACCUCCCAUUGUGCUCUGUGAUAUGUAAUAGACGCGCUAACUUUUGAAUGAGACAAACGGGGGCGAUGUUGGUGUUCUACAAAUAGUUGGUGUUCUGUCUUCGUUCAAGCUAUUGAAAAGGAACACUGGCGCUUAUGCAUGCUACAAUGAGGAAACAGGAUCAAGCUCUCCUCUACCCCCUCUGUUGAAAAGGAACACUGGCGCUUAUGCAUGCUACAAUGAGGAAACAGGAUCAAGCUCUCCUCUACCCCCUGUCAGUGAACAUGUAUAAGAGUAUGGGGUACAUUCCCCAACCCCGUACAGGGUACACCCACUGCCCUCAGAUGCACUGUGAUAAGGCACACUUCAGAAAUGCAGAGACUCACAACAUGUUCUGCAUACAUGCAUCGCACAUCUUGAUAUAGGCCAUCUCUAAGAACAGUGUGUUCUGUGUGAAAGUGAAUGGUGGGACAUGGGUAAAAUGAGGGAGCGUUUGAUGACAUUUCAUUUGAAUGUUUACUCACACUGAUUAGUGUUAAUUGAUGUUUUUUUCCUUGUUUAAUAUUAUUAAUUCAAUGAUUUGUUUUUUUUACGCUCACAAGAAAUGGAAGACACAAGAAGUCAAUGUCUCAAUCCAUUCAGAGUCUACAUGGCUGUAUCAGUGAAUUUGUGAUAUACGUUUUCUGCUGGUGAAAGCAUGCUCAUAGUCAAACCACUUUUAGAUACUGUGUGUAUAUUUACCUUCUAUUUCCUGAAUUGAUAUUUUGCAAAUUUCUUUAGAAAAGUACCUCCUGAGUCUCUGCAUUGUGUUUGUGUUCCACCACCAAGGUGCUUCAUUUACUAUUUCAGGAGAGGCCAUUUCCGAUUUUCCCGCUAAUUUCACUUAAGAGAAAGAGAGAAUCCAUUAUUUAUGGCCAUUCCGGUGAAAGUGUUCUUUGUUCCAAGCGAAGAUGUGAUGAUGUCAGAGGUCAGCGGCGCCACGGCAGGCAAUCGAGACUGAUGGAGACCUGCAGGACGGUUUUUCCGUUGAAUGCGGGCGCUGAGCGGAAGAGGACACGGGAUACGCGGCUUUAUCGCUCUGCGGGUCGGCACUGCAGAGCAGAACUGCCCGCGUCUCCAGAACCCGCCAGCGCUCGCGGGCUGAAAUUAUUGCGUUGCGCUGCAUGACAUUAUUUAUUUACACUGCCAGUUUGGCGGCGGCCCUCAGUCAUUACAACUUAAACAGUUUGUGCAUGAAUACGGGUCGAAUGAUUUAAUCAAUGAUUUAAAGCUGUAGGUUAACCUCCGCGUCCGUGGGCGGGGCCGGAGUGCCCUCUCUGCUCUGCAUGAAUCUCAGUUUAAAAGCCCAGGCUUUCACUCGCGUAACACGGGCUGGCGCAGGACGAGAGCGGAGCUGCUCUUUGUGCUGUUUUUAGUAAAAGGAGAGCUGAGUCUGAGGGUGACUCUCCUCUCCUCGUUUGUAAAUUCAAAAACAGCCAGACACCAUCACUCUGCAGUGGCACCCUACCGAUUAUCAAAAUCGAAUGCAAAUUCAGAUAAGCUUCCCUGGCAAGACAAUGAUCCCAUCAUUUAAGGGCACUGGUCUUUGUCCAUGAGCCAGAAUACUAUUAGCUUAAUACGAUGUUGAUUUAUUUCAGUUGUCUGCAUAAACGUCUGUUGUUCAAGGCAAGUGGGAAGAAAAGAAAUAUGCUUCUGUACUGUUCUGGAAUUAUUGGCAGAGGUGGAUCCACGAAGAGCUGCUUGAUUAGUAUAACUGGUUUAAUGGCCUUAAUUGGUGAAAUGGAUUUAAUUUCUUUCUCCAUAAUUGCUGUACGCUUUUAACCCUUUCCUGCAAAGUGACUCUGCACCUCGGCAGGUCUGCCCCUUUGGCUCUUUCUGCGUGUUUGUGCAGGACGACCCGCUGUAGACCGCCACGGGACCGCCAUGGGACCGCCUGCCAAGCCUAUUAUAACGUUUGGCUCAUUUCCUGUGGCAUCCUGUCGUGGAUUGCAUUUACUGUGCUUUAUGCCUGGGGUGCGUUUUAGUUAGGGAAUGGAGAGCAUGCAUUUGGAUCCUCUAUUCAUUUUGAAUCCAUAAAUAUCGACUUAUCAGAUUUCUCAUAGAAUAUCAGAAAGGUUCGUUGAACUUUUUUUUUUUUUUUACUUCAGUAACAGAAGCUGUGGUUUGUCCGUGGCUCACUCUUGGAUGAAAGGCUCAAGUCAUUUGCUGAAAGUUGAAAAGUAGGAUGAAGGAGCUCCAGAAUUUAGCACAGCGUUUUCCUUCCUUUGAAACCAAAGGGAAGAGGGUUAAAGGGUUUGUUCAGUGUUUAUGUCGUCACACAGCAAAUGUGGUCCUAUCUUUAAUAUUUUAAAUAAAAGUGCAUGAACAUCUCCAAUCUCACCAGUUCAAGAUUUUCUCACUCAGUAUCAUAGACAGUCUCAGGUCAAGUUCUCAUAAACACACAUGCAGCAUGCACACAGAGACAAACACACACACACACACACACACAUACAUGCACAUGCACACACACACUACAUGGCCAAAAGUAUGUGGACACCUGAACAUCAUCCCCAUAUGUGCUUGUUGAAAAUCUAAUUCCAAAACCAUGGGCGUUAAUAUGGAUAGUUGGUCCCCCCUUUGCUGCUAUAACAGCCUCCACUAUUCUGGAAGGCUUUCCACUAGAUUUUGGAACAUGGUUUCAGGGAUUUCCUUCAGUUCAGCCACACGAACAUUCGUGAGGUCUUGCACAGAUGUUGGGCGAUGCGUUGGGCCUGGCUCGCAGUUGGCGUUUCAAUUGACCCCAAAGUGCUUCGAUGGGGUAGAGGCCAGGGCUUUGUGCAGGCCAGUCAUGUUCUUCCACACCAACUCAUGAAUCCAUUUAUUUAUGGACCUUGCUUUGUGCACAGUUGCAUUAAUAGGAAACAGGAAAGGACAAACUGUUGCCACAAUGUUGGAAGCACAAAAUGCUUUAGAAUGUCAUUGUAUGCUGUGGCAUUUUAGAUUUCCCCUUGCUGGAACUAAGGGGCCUAGACCAAACCAUGAAAAGAAGCCCCAGACCAUUAUUCCUCCUUCAUCAAACUUUACAGUUGGCACUAUGCAUUUGGGUAGGUAGCGUUCUCCUGGCUUUCACCAAACCCAGAUUCGUCCGUCAGACUGCCAGAUAGUGUAGCGCGAUUCAUCGCUCCAGAGAACGUUUCCACUGCUCCCCAGAGUCCAAUGUUGAUGUGCUUUGCACCACUCCACUCGACGCUUGGCGUGGCACAUGAUGAUCUAUGGCUUGUGUGCGGCUGCUCGGCCAUGGAAACCCAUUUCUUGAAGCUCUCAAUGAACAGUUCUUGUGCUGAUGUUGCUACCAAAGGCAGUCUGGAACCCCGUAGUGAGUGUUGCAACCGAGGCCAGGCGAUCUUUGCGGGCUACUCGCUUCAGCACUCUGCAGUCCUGUUCUGUGAGCUUGUGUGGCCUACCGUUUCCUGCUGAACUGUGGUUGCUCCUAGACAUUUACACUUCAUAAUAAGAGCACUUACAGUGACCGGAGCAGAAAUUUGACAAACUGAUUUGUUGGAAGGGUGGCAAUCCUAUGACAGUGCCACGUUGAAAGUCACUAAGCUCUUCAGUACGACCUGUUCUAUUACCAAUGUUUGUCUAGUAUGGCUGCAUGUUUGCUUUUAUGUGCCUGUUAGUAGUGGGUGUGGCUGAAGUAGCCAAACCCACUAAUUAGAAGGGGUGUCCUCAUACUUUUGGCCAUGUGGUAUACAUAUAUGCACACACACACACACACACACACACACCAUGCAUAGAAGAGAGGUGCUUAGCAGAGACUGUGCAUGGUGGGGGUCAGUGAUAGGAUGAAUGUGUUCUGAAUAGAGAUGUUCUGCUUUACCCCACUGCUGUUUGACCUGCUGUUUUACAUUUGCCUUUAACCUUUUAAAUAAGAUACC